CCGCCACAACGGCUUCCUGACGUGGCGGGUUUAGCAUAACGGAGCA
rnacentral:ncRNA from 1 species